rnacentral:rRNA from 1 species
UCGCCUGUUUAUCAAAAAACAUCGCCUCUUGAAUUCAUAUAAGAGGUCCAGCCUGCCCAGUGACUUUGUUCAACGGCCGCGGUAUCCUAACCGUGCGAAGGUAGCGUAAUCACUUGUCUUUUAAAUGAGGACUUGUAUGAAUGGCAUCACGAGGGUUAUACUGUCUCCUUUUUCUAAUCAGUGAAACUAAUCUUCCCGUGAAGAAGCGGGAAUAAAUAUAUAAGACGAGAAGACCCUAUGGAGCUUUAAACUUAAUAACAAAUACUAACCUUACUUCAACUUCCAGAACAUUAAUCUUAAUUUUAGUAUUGUGUUUAUUAGUUUUAGGUUGGGGUGACCGCGGAGUAAAAAUUAACCUCCAUAUUGAAUAGGACUCGUCCUUGAGCUAAGAACUACAACCCUAAGCACCAAUAAAUUGACAUUAAUUGACCCAAUAUUUUGAUCAACGAACCAAGUUACCCUAGGGAUAACAGCGCAAUCCACUUCAAGAGCUCCUAUCGACAAGUGGGUUUACGACCUCGAUGUUGGAUCAGGGUAUCCCAGUGGUGCAGCCGCUACUAAAGGUUCGUUUGUUCAACGAUUAAAACCCUACGUGAU